rfam:Schistosoma mattheei strain Denwood, Zambia genome assembly, scaffold: SMTD_scaffold0006971
CCACUGCUGAGGAGUUCCACAAUAGGACGAAACGGCCGUCCAGUGC